UGUAAGCGCCUUCCAGCUGGGCAACACUGUACUGAAUGCUGAGGAAAGAAGGAAGAUCUAAACUUUAUCAGGGAUGACCACAUGACUUUGCUCUGUCUCCAAGUGCCGCAUGAUCUAAAGAGCACAGUGGAUCAAAAAACUGGCCCCCAAAUAAAAAAAAAAAAAAUGUACAGUAGUUAACAUUGUUUAUCCUGUGCCAGGUGCUGUACUCAAAUGUUUUUGUGCAUUGCCCAAGGGGAAAAGAGGUGAAUACAGAGGAAAUAGUAAUUCUUCCUACAGAUUAUUGACUGAUGGGCCAGCAGAGCCAAUUAUGAAAUCUACUGUUAAACUCUCUCUUCAGCAGAGAGCAUGGAGGACAGCGUGGACUUUUCCGACAGGUUGAUAUCUCAUCUCAUUCCAACCUUCAAAAAUCUAAACAUCUGUACUAAGAAGAAUUUAUAUUUCCAGAAAUCAAACUCAGCACUUCAUACAUGUAAGG
ensembl:lincRNA